AUAGGCAGAGCCAUCUAACAAGAUACUCUCACCUCCACUUCCAAACCUUAAAUGAGGGCUAGGAGGGGUGGAUCCUAGCUGCACCCCUUCAUCACUCAGCAGCAUUGCAUGCACCUGAGCUCCCUUGGGCUGGCCCUGCUCUCCACCAGGUCCUCCGUCGCUGCUUCAAGCUGUGACUUAGCAUUUCUACUAUGCCAUCAUUCUCUGCCCUGUUCUGCAGUGACACUACAGAUAGGUUAACACAGUGGAAGAGCAAUACAGGAGUGUAACAGCAAAAGGACCAGCAUGGAUAUGAUGCUAUUUCACAGAAAAACUUCCUGAAUCUGCUCCAACACAGCGCACCAGCUAGUUUCCACAUCACCUCUGCAAAGUGCAUCUUCUGACAUCAGAAAAAAAGCAGCUGCGUUCAGUCCUAAGGUAGCCUGAGAAUUAACUCAAGGCUGUUGGAUUUUCAGCAAAAGACAACUGCCACAAAUGGCAUCACGGUUACCUGGGAGAGCGGAGGACUUCUUCGGCUGUUUUAGGAAUCCAGUGUCCAUAGCUGAUUCCUUUGUGGGGAUGAGACAAAGAUGCAAAGUUUGUACAGCCCAGUUCUCAGGUAGAAGCCUGCUAUAAAUGCAGUGGGUGCUAAGUGAGAUGUAAGAUGAAUUAGCAGUUUCCCUCUUCCUCUUGUCUUUUCAGAAUAAUACUGUUUGCAGUUGAACCAGCACAGUGGAAAAUAAUGUUAUGAUUUCUAAAGGUGCUUUGUGGAACAAAGGAUAUUGGAUCAAAUUUUCUCCCGAGCUUGCUCACUGCUCCUACAGUAAUGAAGAGCAGAAGCUGGCUUGCUUUAAAAUAAUGAGAAGCUGUGACUUUGAGUAAUAAGAUCAUAAAUUUUGGUUUGCUAUUUCCCAUGCAUGAGAAGGUUGUGAUAGUAAGUAUAAUUUACUGUGACAAACCACUGGCGUUAAUGCUUUCAUCAAGAGAAACAAAUGGUCUCCUUUUGAAAUCUCCUGCCCACCUUGAGAGAGCAAUAGGGUUAUAAAUAGAGAAAGAACAAAUAUUGACUCUAUGAAAUGUAAAGGUACCUGGAGUUCACCCAUCAGUCUUCAGAUUACACCUGCCUUUCAAGAUUAAUGUUUUUUUCUUCAUAAUCCACUUGGAUGACUUGUUUGAGCUCAGUGCUCUUUCUAGGUUUUCAAAAUGUUCCAUACCAUUUCUGAAGAAGCUCAGAAUUCUGGAAUGAGGUAGAUAUUCCCAACCCAAGAGUUAUCUUUCAUUUCAGUUUGACAUAAGUAUUUACAAAACUGCCUGGGCUACUCCAUGAGUUACUUGUUUGAUGGCAUUCCUGGUUAGGCUUUCUGUAUAACAGCUCCAGAAAAUUAUUCCUCCAUGACUUGCACCGUGGGACCUCAGAGAAGCACACCCCCUUUGACAUCUGAACCUGUGCAGGACUCAAGAGGAUACAAGAAUUUACUACCUCGGGGAAAGGCCUCAGACACUGUUUGCUGAACUUAAUCUCACUUUGUCACACACUUUGCUUCCCCUUUUGAAGUCGUAAUGUCUCAUGCAUUUAAUCUCUGAAGCAAUGCUGUAAAACUAUCUUCUACGCAGUCUGUUGGAGUCUACUUUACAUUAUUUCAGCAUGGGCUCCUACAUUGGAUUCAGAUCCUCUUAAAGUGUCUUACAGAACAAACGGACAAAGAUGGAUGUGUGUGGACACACGGGUGAUGUGCCACAAAAGCCAUACCUACUUUCAGAAGCACACCAGGAGCCUGGGGCUCAGGUGAGCAGGUCUGAGCAUUGCUCCAGCUGCCACACACAGAGAAAAGAACGCAUUGGUCUGCGGGGUUAAAGCACGUGUGGCUCCAACAGGAUGUACGCUCAAAAACAGCCAAAGCCUGGGGGUGUUUUGACAGAAUGAAUUGAAGGUUUUCCAGUCCAUUGCCUCCCCAAACUCAGUGCUAGAAUGCUGUGUCUAAAGAAUAGUUUUCUCUCACCUCUUUGCUUGCUCUACAAUAAGGUAAAGAAAACGUAUGCUUGAAGGCCAUCUUAGUGAACAGCUGUAUGUGACAGAAAGGUCUGGUACCUCGGGUCAUUUUAGGCAGCGUUUAGGAUUUUAUAAUCUUGAAUACUAAAUUUCAACAAUUCGUAUUAAGCUAUGGCAACUCACCAUGCCUCACCAAAGGCACGUCCAGAAGGACUAGAGCUGCUGCCAGACUGUUUGAAUAUUCUAAUAAAAUUCACCACACACAAACAUCUCCAGAUUAGCUUUUACAUUUCCUUGCAGUCAGCAGUUGCACAGAACUGCUUUGAUACUUGGGAUAAGCAGGGCGGAGAGGAAUCCAGGCAUGGCCUUGUGUAUACAUUGACAUGGUUUUUCAGGAGGGCUUAAGGGACUUAGUGAAUACGGCAGAUGCACCUGGACUGUGUGACACUCAUGGCCUCUCUGCCUGAAGGGUAAAGGGUCAAAUUUAGUUAGGCCAAAAGCAGGCUCUUGCCCCCGGUCACUUCCAUUAGGAAGAUGUCACCGUCCAAGCUCAGGAGCAAUGGAGCCACUCCACUCCAUGGAGACUACCCUCACAUUUUCAGUUAGCUUCCUUGAGCCUCCUUUUCUCCACUGGAAAAGCACCUCAGGACACUCCCGGAAAAAAAAGUGCCAGGUAGCAGUUAACACCUACACAGAUAUGCCAUAUCCUACAGAUAUGGGUACAUCGAACACUUCAGGGGAUUCAUUAGCAUUUCUUUCUCUCCAUUUAACUUUUCUGUGGUAUCUCAGUAAGCUGGGAUCACUUGCAGACUCUGUUUGUACUUUUAUGUCUGCACAAACCAGCAAAGUACAGAAGAGAGGAGAGAUGCAUUUAUGUUGCACUGCUGCAUAAAUGACAAGGGAAGGAGAUUCACUACUGAGACAGCAACUGUUAGAGAAAGGUUUUGGAAAGGA